UACGGAGGGUGCAAGCGUUAUCCGGAUUCACUGGGUUUAAAGGGAGCGUAGGAGGGCAGGUAAGUCAGUGGUGAAAUCCUGGGGCUUAACUCCAGAACUGCCGUUGAUACUAUCUGUCUUGAAUACCGUGGAGAUGAGCGGAAUAUGUCAUGUAGCGGUGAAAUGCUUAGAGAUGACGUAGAACACCAAUUGCGAAGGCAGCUCGUUACACGCGUAUUGACUCUGAGGCUCGAAAGCGUGGGGAUCAAACAGG
rnacentral:rRNA from 1 species